AGGGAUUGCAUGGGGGGAACCCUGAUCAGCCUGCCGCGUGUGUGAAGAAGGCCUUAUGGUUGUAAAGCACUUUAAGCGAGGAGGAGGCUCUUCUAGUUAAUACCUAGGAUGAGUGGACGUUACUCGCAGAAUAAGCACCGGCUAACUCUGUGCCAGCAGCCGCGGUAAUACAGAGGGUGCGAGCGUUAAUCGGAUUUACUGGGCGUAAAGCGUGCGUAGGCGGCUUUUUAAGUCGGAUGUGAAAUCCCCGAGCUUAACUUGGGAAUUGCAUUCGAUACUGGGAAGCUAGAGUAUGGGAGAGGAUGGUAGAAUUCCAGGUGUAGCGGUGAAAUGCGUAGAGAUCUGGAGGAAUACCGAUGGCGAAGGCAGCCAUCUGGCCUAAUACUGACGCUGAGGUACGAAAGCAUGG
rnacentral:rRNA from 1 species